AACGAACGCUGGCGGCAGGCUUAACACAUGCAAGUCGAGCGCCCCGCAAGGGGAGCGGCAGACGGGUGAGUAACGCGUGGGAAUCUACCCAUCUCUACGGAAUAACGCAUGGAAACGUGUGCUAAUACCGUAUACGUCCUUCGGGAGAAAGAUUUAUCGGAGAUGGAUGAGCCCGCGUUGGAUUAGCUAGUUGGUGGGGUAAAGGCCUACCAAGGCGACGAUCCAUAGCUGGUCUGAGAGGAUGAUCAGCCACACUGGGACUGAGACACGGCCCAGACUCCUACCGGAGGCAGCAGUGGGGAAUAUUGGACAAUGGGCGCAAGCCUGAUCCAGCCAUGCCGCGUGAGUGAUGAAGGCCCUAGGGCUGUAAAGCUCUUUCACCGGUGAAGAUAAUGACGGUAACCGGAGAAGAAGCCCCGGCUAACUUCGUGCCAGCCGCCGCAGUAACAC
rnacentral:rRNA from 1 species